rnacentral:rRNA from 1 species
CGCUGAAACACCGGUUCUCGUUCGAUCACCGAAGUUAAGCAUCGUAGAGCCAGGUCAGAACUUAGAUGGGGGACCGCUUGGGAACACCUGGUACUGUAAG